UCAGCGUUUGUUAGACGGGGUAGACCAUAUUGGUUUGGAAGACGCACAGAGAAGAUCUCUUUCUCUGUGGGCAGACGUAUUAAUUUCUUGCUUACUCGUAAACUUGAUAGAUAUUGAUUAUCAAUUAUAUACAAGUGCUUGAAGGAUAAAUUCAUCAUGCCAGGACCGACAGAAGAGCAGUCCAUUGAUAAAGAUAAAGAGGAAGAUGCGAGGCAGAGGGAGAUAAUGAAUGCAGCUUACCAAAGGAUUCUGGAUGAAAUAAUUGAUCAUGUGAUAGUGAAGGUGAUUUUCAAAGCUGAACCAGCUUAAUGUUUUGGAACUUUGAAGGUAACUGACAAGAAGAUUGCUCUUCAUCACUUUCAAAAUUUGCAUCUGUAACUCCUGUGAAUCCAGUGGUAUAUGAAAAAUGGGUUUAUCUUGGAAUUCCCCUUUUGGAUUAUUUUACUAGUGUUACAACUGGUCAUAGUACAUACAAAUAGAAAUUCAUAAUAUUUUCAAUGCCAGUUAAAUUAUGUGUUUCAAAAAAUUUUAUGUGUUUUGUAAACUGUUUUCUGCUUUAAAAUAUUAUGAUUUUUUUUUCAUGUUAUUAGGUUAAAACUUUAAUUUUUAUAUAAUGGCAGAUAGUUCUUGCCCAGUAUUUCAACAAAAUGCUUUCUUUUUUAUAAUAAAACCUUGUGUUCUGUAAAUGUGCCAUAUAU